rnacentral:rRNA from 1 species
AGAGGGUGAUCGGCCACACUGGGACUGAGACACGGCCCAGACUCCUACGGGAGGCAGCAGUGGGGAAUAUUGCACAAUGGGCGGAAGCCUGAUGCAGCAACGCCGCGUGCGGGAUGACGGCCUUCGGGUUGUAAACCGCUUUCGCCUGUGACGAAGCGUGAGUGACGGUAAUGGGUAAAGAAGCACCGGCUAACUCCGUGCCAGCAGCCGCGGUGAUACGUAGGGUGCGAGCGUUGUCCGGAUUUAUUGGGCGUAAAGCGAGCGCAGGCGGUUAGAUAAGUCUGAAGUUAAAGGCUGUGGCUCAACCAUAGUUCGCUUUGGAAACUGUCAAACUUGAGUGCAGAAGGGGAGAGUGGAAUUCCAUGUGUAGCGGUGAAAUGCGUAGA